AAAAAAAAAGAAAGGAGAGAAGGCUAGCACUCCCCUUGACAAGGAUGAAAGAGGCUGACACGCACACAGUUCAGGCAUUGCAACAUACUUGUGGCAUCUAACCGUCUUUUCUU
ensembl:snRNA